rnacentral:ncRNA from 1 species
GUUUUAAUAAAACCAUUAACAGGUAGGGUUGCUUACCUUUUGCAUAAUGAAGCUACAAGUUUUAUCUUUAGGCGUAUCCCCGAAGGUGAGAGAUCAGGGAAAAAUUUGUUGAAGAACUAAUUUGUAGUGGUGAAAAACUCCUUUAAAAAAUUUUUUCUAGAGGUGAAAUGCCAUCACGAGCUUAUCAAGGAUAUCUGGGUUUAUAGCUAAGAUUAUAAAGUAAAAUAAAUAUUCGGGAUAAGCUGGGUAUUAAAAAAUAAACAAUUAUUUCUUUUUUAAAGUAAGCUUAAAAGCAGCUACCUGGAGUGAGGUCUUUACCGGCUAAAUAUCUACUGGUGGGGUAAAAAUUCCAGGAUAGGCUUUAAUUUUCAUAAAAUAGUUAGUGUUACUUUUGAUGUAAAAAAAUGAGUAUUUUUAAAUUUUUAGUUAAAAUAAAAAAGGUCUAGGAAGAACUCGGCAAAAAGGAUUAGGACUGUUUAUUAAAAACAUAGCGUAGAGAGGCUAAUAAUUCUACGUCAAGCGCUGCCCGGUGCUGUAAUGGUAAACGGCGGCCUUAGCGUGAGGGUCUUAAGGUAGCAUAAUAAUUCGCUCUCUUAAUUGGAGGCAGGUAUGAACGGUUUUUCAUAGUUUAGCUUUCUUCUUCAUGAGGUUGAAGUUGGCGUCCUAGUGAAGAUACUUGAAUUUUUUAGGAAGACAAAAAGACCCUAGAAGCUCUGACUAACGUCUUGGCUGGGAGAGUUCCUGAGAAAUAUCAGAAGUCCUUUAUCGGCUUAAGUUGACUCUUAUAUGAGGGGAGGGAGAUCCCUAUUACAAGGAAUUUUUGGGAAACAGAAGAAAAGUUACUCUAGGGGUAACAGGCUAAUCCAGCUUGAGAGUUCAUAUCGGCAGCUGGGCUUAGUACCUCGAUGUUGGCUUUAGUGGGCUCAAUUGUGCAGCAGCAAUUAGAGCAGGUCUGUUCGACCUUUAAAAACUACCUUGAGCUGAGUUUAGAACGUAGAAAUACAGUUCGGUUCCUAUCUCCUUAGCUUAUUACCCCUUUUGUACGAAAGGACUUAGGG